rnacentral:rRNA from 1 species
UACGAGUGCCUCGAGCGUUAUCCGGAAUCAUUGGGCGUAAAGGGUGCGUAGGCGGCGAUGUUAGUCUCCCGUAAAAUCUCUAGGCUCAACCUAGAGUCCGCGGGAGAUACGGCAUUGCUAGAGGAUGGUAGGGGUCUCUGGAACUCAUGGUGUAGCGGUGAAAUGCGUUGAUAUCAUGGGGAACACCAAAAGCGAAGGCAAGAGACUGGACCACUCCUGACGCUGAAGCACGAAAGCGUGGGUCGCGAAUGGG